rnacentral:rRNA from 1 species
GACGAACGCUGGCGGCGUGCUUAACACAUGCAAGUCGAACGGAAAGGCCCUGCUUUUGUGGGGUGCUCGAGUGGCGAACGGGUGAGUAACACGUGAGUAACCUGCCCUUGACUUUGGGAUAACUUCAGGAAACUGGGGCUAAUACCGGAUAGGAGCUCCUGCUGCAUGGUGGGGGUUGGAAAGUUUCGGCGGUUGGGGAUGGACUCGCGGCUUAUCAGCUUGUUGGUGGGGUAGUGGCUUACCAAGGCUUUGACGGGUAGCCGGCCUGGGAGGGUGACCGGCGACAUGAGGACUGCGAGACGGCGCAGAGUCGUACGGGGGGCAGCAGUGGGGAGUAUUACACAGUGGGCGGAAGCCUGAUGCAGCAACGCCGCGUGCGGGAUGACGUCCUUCGGGGUGUGAACCGCUUUCGCCUGUGACGAAGCGUGAGUGACGGUAAUGGGUGAAGAAGCACCGGCUAACUACGUG